rnacentral:rRNA from 1 species
UAAAUAGAUACCCCCGGUAGUCCACGCCCUAAACGAUGCGAACUGGAUGUUGGGUACAUUACGGUACUCGAGUGUCGAAGCUAACGCGUUAAGUUCGCCGCCUGGGGAGUACGGUCGCAAGACUGAAACUCAAAGGAAUUGACGGGGGCCCGCACAAGCGGUGGAGUAUGUGGUUUAAUUCGAUGCAACGCGAAGAACCUUACCUGGCCUUGACAUCUGUCGAAUCCUGCAGAGAUGCGGGAGUGCCGCAAGGAACGACAAGACAGGUGCUGCAUGGCUGUCGUCAGCUCGUGUCGUGAGAUGUUGGGUUAAGUCCCGCAACGAGCGCAACCCUUGUCCCUAGUUGCCAGCACGUAAUGGUGGGAACUCUAGGGAGACUGCCGGUGACAAACCGGAGGAAGGUGGGGAUGACGUCAAGUCCUCAUGGCCCUUACGGCCAGGGCUACACACGUACUACAAUGGUCGGUACAGAGGGUUGCGAAGCCGCGAGGUGGAGCCAAUCCCGAGAAAACCGAUCCCGAGUCCGGAUCGGAGUCUGCAACUCGUACC